GCGCGAAAACUUUACACUGCGGGAAACCGCGAUAAGGGGACCCCGAGUGCCAGCACCUAGUGCUGGCUGUCCAGCUGUUCAAAAAACAGUUGUUAGCAAGGGCCGGGCAAGACCGGUGCCAGCCGCCGCGGUAACACCGGCGGCCCGAGUGGUAGCCGUUAUUAUUGGGUUUAAAGGGUCCGUAGCCGGCCUAUUAAGUCUCUUGGGAAAUCUGGCGACUCAAUCGUCAGGCGUUCAAGAGAUACUGGUAGGCUUGGGACCGGGGAGGAGGUGGGGAGGGUACGUCCAGGGGUAGGGGGUGGAAAUACUCGUAAUCCUUGGGGGACCGACCGAUGGCGAAGGCAUCCCACCAGAACGGGUCCGACGGUGAGGGACGAAAGCUGGGGGCGACGAACCGGAUUAGAUACCCGGGUAGUCCCAGCCGUAAACGAUGCUCGCUAGGUGUCAGGUGCGGUGCGACCGCAUCUGGUGCCGUAGUGAAAACUUGAGCGAGUCACCUGGGAAGUACGGUCGCAAGGCUGAAACUUAAAGGAAUUGGCGGGGGAGCACUACAACGGGUGGAGCCUGCGGUUA
rnacentral:rRNA from 1 species